CGGGUGAUCCUGCCGGAGGCCACUGCUAUUGGGAUCCGGACUAAGCCAUGCGAGUCGAGAGGGUUUGGCCCUCGGCAGACGGCUCAGUAACACGUGGAUAAUCUGCCCUUAGGUGGAGGAUACCCUCGGGAAACUGAGAAUAAUACUCCAUAGGUCUAGAAGGCUGGAAUGCAUCUAGGCUGAAAGCUACGGCGCCUAAGGAUGAGUCCGCGGACUAUCAGGUAGUAGUCAGGGUAACGACCUGGCUAGCCUACGACGGAUACGGGUUGUGAGAGCAAUAACCCGGAGACGAUAUCUGAGACACGAUAUCGGGCCCUACGGGGCGCAGCAGGCGCGAAACCUUCACACUGCGCGAAAGCGCGAUGAGGGGAUCCCAAGUGCUGGCACGUAAGUGUCAGCUGUUUCUCUGUCUAAAAAACAGAGAGAGUAAGAGCUGGGUAAGACGGGUGCCAGCCGCCGCGGUAAUACCUGCAGCUCAAGUGGUGGCCGCUAUUAUUGGGCCUAAAACGUCCGUAGCCGGUUUGGUAAAUGCCUGGGUAAAUCGUGUAGCUCAACUAUACGAAUUCCGGGUAGACUGCCAGGCUUGAGACCGGGAGAGGCUAGAGGUACUCCUGGGGUAGAGGUGAAAUUCUGUAAUCCUAGGGGGACCACCAGUGGCGAAAGCGUCUAGCCAGAACGGGUCUGACGGUGAGGGACGAAGCCCUGGGGCGCAAACCGGAUUAGAUACCCGGGUAGUCCAGGGUGUAAACGCUGCUUGCUUGAUGUUAGCCAGGCUCCGAGCCUGGCUAGUGUCGGAGAGAAGUUGUUGAGCAAGCUGCCUGGGAAGUACGGUCGCGAGACUGAAACUUAAAGGAAUUGGCGGGGGAGCAC
rnacentral:rRNA from 1 species